ensembl:lncRNA
GUUGUGUCCUUUCCUCUGUUUCUACGGUUGUUGAAUUCGGCGGAACGGCUUUACAUCUGAAUAGUAAUAUGAGAAAAGAAGGUCAGGUUAUGCAAAGGACUACAAUGACGAGCAUCAAAACAGACUACAGAGGCAAAAGCCCGGCAGAAGGUUCCCACACUUCAUGGAGGAGGCCAAACAAAUGGCGGCUGGACUACUUCCACCAGUCUCCAGACUGAGGCGAAAAAGAGAAUGAGUUGGAGCUGAUGGCAGUUAGCAUGAAGAAGCUAUAUUUUUAAACUUCUGUAGAUUAUUUGUUAAAUAAAUUGUACUUCUGU